rnacentral:rRNA from 1 species
GACGAACGCUGGCGGCGUGCCUAAUACAUGCCAGUAGAACGCACAGUUUAUACCGUAGCUUGCUACACCAUAGACUGUGAGUUGCGAACGGGUGAGUAACGCGUAGGUAACCUGCCUGGUAGCGGGGGAUAACUAUUGGAAACGAUAGCUAAUACCGCAUAAUAUUAAUUAUUGCAUGAUAAUUAAUUGAAAGGUGCAAUUGCACCACUACCAGAUGGACCUGCGUUGUAUUAGCUAGUAGGUGAGGUAACGGCUCACCUAGGCGACGAUACAUAGCCGACCUGAGAGGGUGAUCGGCCACACUGGGACUGAGACACGGCCCAGACUCCUACGGGAGGCAGCAGUAGGGAAUCUUCGGCAAUGGACGAAAGUCUGACCGAGCAACGCCGCGUGAGUGAAGAAGGUGUUCGGAUCGUAAAGCUCUGUUGUAAGAGAAGAACGGGUGUGAGAGUGGAAAGUUCACACUGUGACGGUAUCUUACCAGAAAGGGACGGCUAACUACGUGC